UACAGCCAUAUCAUGUUGAAUCACUGGUUCCCAUAUGAUCACUGAAGUUAAGCAAUGUUGAACUUGGACAGCACCUAGAUGGGUGACUGCUUGGGAAUACCAGGUGCUGUAAG